CCUACGGGAGGCAGCAGUGGGGAAUAUUGGACAAUGGGCGAAAGCCUGAUCCAGCCAUGCCGCGUGUGUGAAGAAGGUCUUCGGAUUGUAAAGCACUUUAAGUUGGGAGGAAGGGUUGUAGAUUAAUACUCUGCAACUUUUGACGUUACCGACAGAAUAAGCACUGGCUAACUCGUGUGCCAGCAGCCGCGGUAAUACAGAGGGUGCAAGCGUUAAUCGGAAUUACUGGGCGUAAAAGCGCGCGUAGGUGGUUUGUUAAGUUGGAUGUGAAAUCCCCGGGCUCAACCUGGGAACUGCAUUCAAAACUGACUGACUAGAGUAUGGUAGAGGGUGGUGGAAUUUCCUGUGUAGCGGUGAAAUGCGUAGAUAUAGGAAGGAACACCAGUGGCGAAGGCGACCACCUGGACUAAUACUGACACUGAGGUGCGAAAGCGUGGGGAGCAAAACAGGAUUAGAUACCCUGGUAGUCCACGCCGUAAACGAUGUCAACUAGCCGUUGGAAGCCUUGNGNUUAGUGNGCNNCACGCAUAGUUAGUACGCCGNGGAGUACGCGCGAGUAAACGUACAAGAGAGUAGAGNGNGAGAGAGACGACGACGACGACGAGGGAGGAGG
rnacentral:rRNA from 1 species